AAAGGGGCUUCGGCUCUGAGUAGAGUGGCGAACGGGUGAGUAACACGUGGGUGAUCUACCUUCGAGUGGGGGAUAACGUUCCGAAAGGAGCGCUAAGACCGCAUGACGUUCCGGGUUUGAAGACCUGGAAACCAAAGCCGGGGACCGCAAGGCCUGGCGCUAGAAGAGGAGCCCGCGCCUGAUUAGCUAGUUGGUGGGGUAAUGGCCUACCAAGGCGACGAUCGGUAGCUGGUCUGAGAGGAUGAUCAGCCACACUGGGACUGAGACACGGCCCAGACUCCUACGGGAGGCAGCAGUGGGGAAUUUUGGACAAUGGGCGCAAGCCUGAUCCAGCCAUGCCGCGUGAGUGAAGAAGGCCUUCGGG
rnacentral:rRNA from 1 species